rnacentral:rRNA from 1 species
CCCGCUGAACUUAAGCAUAUCAAUAAGCGGAGGAAAAGAAACUAACAAGGAUUCCCCUAGUAACUGCGAGUGAAGAGGGAAAAGCUCAAAUUUGAAAUCUGGCGGUUCUUGUAGCCGCCCGAGUUGUAGUUUAGAGAAGUGCUAUCCGCGCUAGACCGUGCAAAAGUUUCUUGGAAAAGAACAUCAUAGAGGGUGACAAUCCCGUCUUUGGCACGGACUCUGGGGCUUUUGUGAUGCGCUCUCGACGAGUCGAGUUGUUUGGGAAUGCAGCUCUAAAUGGGUGGUAAAUUCCAUCUAAAGCUAAAUAUUGGCGAGAAACCGAUAGCGAACAAGUACCGUGAGGGAAAGAUGAAAAGAACUUUGAAAAGAGAGUUAAACAGUACGUGAAAUUGUUGAAAGGGAAACGCUUGAAGUCAGUCGUGUCUUGCAGAGAUCAAGUCGACUCUUUUGUUGGCCGUACUCUCUGCUAUGACAGGUCAGCAUCAAUUUUGACCGCUGGAUAAAGGCCUUGGGAAUGUGGCAUCCUCGGAUGUGUUAUAGACCAGGGUUCGGAUACAGUGGUUGGGAUUGAGGAACUCAGUGUGCCUUCAUGGCUGGGGCUUCGGCUCACACCACACACUCAGGAUGCUGGCAUAAUGGCUUUAAUCGACCCGUCUUGAAACACGG